ACGUCGACUUAUUAAAAGACGGCAAACCACCGCCUUCCUUGAAUGAGUCCUCUCCUUCCACUCACUCAAGGGAACCGAAAUUUGCCAACUACCUCCCUCUCUCACUCGACAAGAUGGCUAUGUUGCGCGCACUGCAUUCUGGGAGACCUGCGCCAUGGCGUACGUAGGAUAUGUGGAGUACGCACGAUUUAGAGAAUACGGAGUACGGAAGGUGUAGAACGUUUCAAAUUCCGGAUUCGCGCCGCAGAGUGUCCAUAUUUUUGAUUGUCACCAGCUUCAAGUCACUUUUAAUAGUGAUCUGAGUCCUUGGAAGACAUCCGUGGAAAUCUCCUCCAGCGGCGACCCCCUAUAAAAACACAGUAAAAGGAUAUUCCAAUAUGGCCGGACGAUGGCCAACCUGGACCGGAAGAUCUCCUGUGAUGGGGCUCCUCAACAAGGUCUCUGUGGCCACGCCCACCACCACGGAGGGACAUUCGUAACGGUGUCACUAAAGGUGAUGUCUGAACUAUAUGCCUAGCACACUGUAUCUCAGUAGCAUCAGCCUUGGAACUGAUUAGCGUGAACAUGGAUUACUGAGAAAUACUUUCUAAAUAGAAUUAGGCUAAUUUAAGAAUUCCUUUAUGUUCAUUAGUUGAAAUCAGGAGCUGUGAUAAGAAUGUAACGUCUUCAUUUGUGAUUUGGAUUUUCCUGCAUCUAAAUAGUACCUGUGAACUUGCAGACAUCACUGUACAACUUAACUAUAAAUGGAGUAAAUGUAUAAAAA